UCAGCACAUACCAUGGACAUGAGGGCCCCUGCCCAGCUCCUGGGGCUCCUGCUGCUCUUGCUCUCAGGUACCAAUUGUGACAUUCUGAUGACCCAGUCUCCAUCCUCUCUGUCUGCAUCAGUAGGAGACAGAGUCUCCAUCACCUGCAAGGCCAGUCAGGGUAUUAGCGAUAAUUUACAAUGGUAUCAGCAGAAACUAGGAAAAGCUCCUACACUCUUGAUUUACUGGGCAUACAGAUUGGAAUCCGGUGUGCCAUCCAGGUUCGGUGGGAGCCAAUCUGGGACAGAGUUCACCCUCACAAUCAGCAGCCUUCAGCCUGAAGACUUUGCAACUUAUUGCUGUCAAUAGAGUAAUAGUUACCCUCCCAC